UACGUAGGGUGCAAGCGUUGUCCGGAAUUAUUGGGCGUAAAGAGCUCGUAGGCGGUUUGUUGCGUCGGCUGUGAAAUCCCGAGGCUCAACCUCGGGUCUGCAGUCGAUACGAGCAAACUAGAGUGUUGCAGGGGAGACUGGAAUUCCUGGUGUAGCGGUGAAAUGCGCGAGAGUAUCUGGAGGAACACCCGGUGGCGAAGGCGGCAUCCUGGACCGGUAU
rnacentral:rRNA from 1 species